rnacentral:rRNA from 1 species
UACGGAAGGCAGCAGUGGGGAAUAUUGCACAAUGGGCGAAAGCCUGAUGCAGCUAUGCCGCGUGUAUGAAGAAGGCCUUAGGGUUGUAAAGUACUUUCAUCGGGGAGGAAAAAACAAAACUAAUAAUUUUAUUUCUUGACGUUACCCGAAAAAGAAGCACCGGCUAACUCCGUGCCAGCAGCCGCGGUAAUACGGAGGGUGCUAGCGUUAAUCAGAAUUACUGGGCGUAAAGAGCACGUAGGUGGUUUUUUAAGUCAGAUGUGAAAUCCCUGGGCUUAACCUAGGAACUGCAUUUUGAAACUGAAAAUACUAGAGUAUCGUAGAGGGAGGUAGAAUUCUAGGUGUAGCGGUGAAAUGCGUAGAUAUCUGGAGGAAUACCUGUGGCGAAAGCGGCCUCCUAAACGAAUACUGACACUGAGGUGCGAAAGCGUGGGGAGCAAACAGGGAUUAGAUACC